GGCCGGAAAGGGGGCCGCCCUCUCGCCCGUCACGUUGAACACGUUCGUGUGGAACCUGGCGCUAAACCAUUCGUAGACGACCUGCUUCUGGGUCGGGGUUUCGUACGUAGCAGGCAGCUCCCUCGCUGCGAUCUAUUGAAAGUCAGCCCUCGACACAAGGGUUUGU
rnacentral:rRNA from 1 species